rnacentral:rRNA from 1 species
AGAGCGAACGCUGGCGGCAGGCCUAACACAUGCAAGUCGAACGGACCCUUCGGGGUUAGUGGCGGACGGGUGAGUAACACGUGGGAACGUGCCUUUAGGUUCGGAAUAGCUCCUGGAAACGGGCGGUAAUGCCGAAUGUGCCCUUCGGGGGAAAGAUUUAUCGCCUUUAGAGCGGCCCGCGUCUGAUUAGCUUGUUGGUGAGGUAAUGGCUCACCAAGGCUACGAUCAGUAGCUGGUCCAGAGGAUGACCAGCCACAUUGGGACUGAGACACGGCCCAAACUCCUACGGGAGGCAGCAGUGGGGAAUCUUGCGCAAUGGGCGAAAGCCUGACGCAGCCAUGCCGCGUGUAUGAUGAAGUCUUAGGAUUAGUAAAUCUUUCACCGGUGAAGAUAAUGACUGUAGCGGGAAGACGCCCGACUAACGUCGCG